UAAGGAAUAUUGCGCAAUGGGCGAAAGCCUGACGCAGCGACGCCGCGUGGGGGAUGAAGGUCUUCGGAUUGUAAACCCCUUUCGGGAGGGAAGAUGGAACGAGCAAUCGUUCGGACGGUACCUCCAGAAGCAGCCACGGCCAACUUCGUGCCAGCAGCCGCGGUAAUACGAAGGUGGCAAGCGUUGUUCGGAUUUACUGGGCGUAAAGAGCACGUAGGCGGUUGGGAAAGCCUUUUGGGAAAUCUUCGGGCCCAACCCGGAAAGCGCAGAGGGUACUGCCAGGCUAGA
rnacentral:rRNA from 1 species